CACCCCCUCUGAGACCCCCACUCUCGCACAGACACCCUCCCCCUCCUUCACAGAAACCUCCCCCUUCCAUGAGAGAGCCCCAUGCUCCCCCCGAGGCCCCACCUCUACUGUGAGGAACCCCCAGCCUCCCACAGGGACUCCUCAUCCCUCAAGGGUCUCUCAGGGGUUCCUGCCACACGGUGAAUCUAUCCCCCACAGCAGCCUUCUGCUCCCCUCCUCCUUCGCUCCCAGAGACCCCAGCCUCUUCUCACCCCAGGCCUCGCACUGCCCAGUGAGCCCUGACCACCACAGAGACCCCCUUCUCCCACAGCCAGCUCUACCCUCACUCAGAGGCCCCUCACCCCACAGAGACGCUCUCAACCCUCCCCCAGCCAGAAACUCACCUCACAGGUAUCCCACUUCUCAGCAAGAGCUCUGUCUGCACCCCCAAGGGAGACCUUCUCCCACAGAGUCCCUUCCCCCAGGUGUUUCCCUCCAGAGAGUCCACCUUCCCACAGAGAGCCUGUUCCUACUUCACCAUAAUCUCCCCACCCAGAUACCUUCCCUCUGACUCCUAAACAAAGCCCAUCUCCUUCCCCACUGCCUAUGGCAACAAGCCCCCAAGAAGCCCUUCCAGGGCCCUCCUCACAGAUGCUUCCCCUCCACCAAAAUGACCCCCUCCUUACUUUCCCCACACAUACAAUGCAGCUCCCCUUUUCUUCCAUUGUGAGACAAACAUGGAGACCUGGGUGAAGGACUGGAAUCUGGGGCGAUGACUCAGAGGCUGGAGCUACAGAUGCUAACUUUCCAAUUUGCUGUGGAGUGCUCAUUGCUCAACCCCCUGCUCUGCCUGAGGGCCUGCCACCACUCCAACUCUUCCCCCGAGCCUGCCAUGCCCUUGCUCCUUCCAUCCCACCAUCAACCUCAGCCUGGUCCAGUCCACACAAGAGAUCCACUUCCUGGACACUACAGUGCUAAUAAACAAUGGUCACAUAAACACCACCCUAUACCGGAAACCUACUGACCGCUAUUCCUACCUACAUGCCUCCAGCUUUCACCCUGACCACACCACACGAUCCAUCGUCUACAGCCAAGCUCUGCGAUACAACCGCAUUUGCUCCAACCCCUCAGACAGAGAAAAACAGAGAAAAAAGAUCUCUGUCAAGCUUUCUUACAACUACAAUACCCACCUGCGGAAGUGAAGAAACAGAUUAAUAGAGCCAGAAGAGUUCCCAGAAGUUACCUACUACAGGACAGGCCUAACAAAGAAAAUAACAGAACGCCACUAGCCGUCACCUUCAGCCCCCAACUAAAACCCCUCCAACGCAUUAUUAAGGAUCUACAACCUAUCCUGAAGGAUGACCCAACACUCUCACAAAUCUUGGGAGACAGGCCAGUCCUUGCCUACAGACAGCCCCGCAACCUGAAGCAAAUACUCAGCAGCAACCACAUACCACACAACAGAACCACUAACCCAGGAACUUAUCCUUGCAACAAAGCCCGUUGCCAACUGUGCCCACAUAUCUAUUCAGGGGACACCAUCACAGGGCCUAAUAACAUCAGCCACACUAUCAGAGGCUCGUUCACCUGCACAUCCACCAAUGUGAUAUAUGCCAUCAUGUGCCAGCAAUGCCCCUCUGCAAUUUACAUUGGUCAAACUGGACAGUCUCUACGUAAAAGAAUAAAUGGACACAAAUCAGAUGUCAAGAAUUAUAACAUUCAUAAACCAGUCGGAGAACACUUCAAUCUGUCUGGUCACGCAAUCACAGACAUGAAGGUCGCUAUCUUAAAACAAAAAAACUUCAAAUCCAGACUCCAGCGAGAAACUGCUGAAUUGGAAUUCAUUUGCAAAUUGGAUACUAUUAAUUUAGGCUUAAAUAGAGACUGGGAGUGGCUUAGUCAUUAUGCAAGGUAGCCUAUUUCCCCUUGUUUUUUCCUACCCCCACCCCAGACGUUCUGGUUAAACUUGGAUUUAAACUUGGAGAGUUGUCAGUUUGGAUGAGCUAUUGCCAUCAGGAGAGUGAGUUUGUGUGUGUGUGUGUGUCCCGGGGGGGAAAUGGGGGGUGGUGAGAGAGCCUGGAUUUGUGCUGGACAUGGCCCACCUUGAUUACCAUGCACAUUGUAGGGAGAGUGGUCAUUUUGGAUGAGCUAUUACCAGCAGGAGAGUGAGUUUGUAUGUGUGUGGGGGUGAGAAAACCUAGAUUUGUGCUGGAAAUGGCCCACCUUGAUUAUCAUGCACAUUGUAGGGAGAGUGGUCACUUUGGAUGAGCUAUUACCAGCAGGAGAGUGAGUUUGUGUGUGUGGUUUUUGGAGGGGGGUGAGAGAACCUGGAUUUGUGCAGGAAAUGGCCGACCUUGAUUAUCAUGCACAUUGUGAAGAGAGUUGUCACUUUGGAUGGGCUAUUACCAGCAGGAGAGUGAGUUUGUGUGUAGGAGGGUGGAGGGUGAGAAAACCUGGAUUUGUGCUGGAAAUGGCCCAACUUGAUGAUCACUUUAGAUAAGCUAUUACCAGCAGGACAGUGGGGUGGGAGGAGAUAUUGUUUCAUGAUCUCUGUGUGUAUAUAAUAUCUGCUGCAGUUUCCACGGUAUGCAUCCGAUGAAGUGAGCUGUAGCUCACGAAAGCUCAUGCUCAAAUAAAUUGGUUUGUCUCU